AUUGGGCAAUGGAGGCAACUCUGACCCAGCCAUCCCGCGUGCAGGAUGAAGGUCCUCUGGAUUGUAAACUGCUUUUGUUAGGGAAGAAAACCUAUUAUUUAUAAUAGACUGACGGUACCUAACGAAUAAGCACCGGCUAACUCCGUGCCAGCAGCCGCGGUAAUACGGAGGAUCCAAGCGUUAUCCGGAAUCAUUGGGUUUAAAGGGUCCGUAGGCGGGACAAUAAGUCAGUGGUGAAAGUCUGCAGCUUAACUGUAGAAUUGCCGUUGAAACUGUUGUUCUUGAGUAAUUAUGAAGUGGUUAGAAUAUGUAGUGUAGCGGUGAAAUGCAUAGAUAUUACAUAGAAUACCGAUUGCGAAGGCAGAUCACUAAUAAUUCACUGACGCUGAUGGACGAAAGCGUAGGUAGCGAA
rnacentral:rRNA from 1 species